AUUAUAUCUUGUUGAGUAUGAUGUGGAAUUUUAAGAAUUUUUAUUUUUUCGAAAUCUCAAUGUUUUGGAGGACAUGAGAUUUUUUCUCAUGGCCAGAGUAUUAAAAGGUGGGAGAUUUUAGCUUUCGUUUCUUAUUCGGCCGAGUUCGGCUCAUUUCGCAGUCCGCGUCCGCCAUAUUUAUUUACAUCAUACUUAACCGCCAAAAUAAUAGUGUAAUAUUGUGCUGUGUUUACCUACAUAAAUAUGUAAAAUUUAUAAUUUAAUAUUUAAUAUUUUUCAAAUAAAUAAUAUUAAGAGGUUUAAUAAACUCUAAGAACAUUAAAAAUUAAAAAUAAAUAACGUUUUCGUAAGAAAACUGAAUUAUAAUGUUCUAUGCGCAUGCGCAGAAGCCAUGAGAUUUUUUCUCAUGGCCAGAGUAAAUAAGGUGAGUCAAAACACCCAUGUCCUGAAGGGUUAA